GAUGAACGCUAGCUACAGGCUUAACACAUGCAAGUCGCGGGGCAGCAUGGGGGUUGCUUGCAACCCCUGAUGGCGACCGGCGCACGGGUGAGUAACGCGUAUCCAACCUGCCCUUCACCACGGGAUAACCCGGCGAAAGUCGGACUAAUACCGUAUGUUGUCCAUUGACGGCAUCCGAUUUGGACGAAAGGCUUAGCGGUGAGGGAUGGGGAUGCGUCCGAUUAGCUUGACGGCGGGGUAACGGCCCACCGUGGCAACGAUCGGUAGGGGUUCUGAGAGGAAGGUCCCCCACACUGGAACUGAGACACGGUCCAGACUCCUACGGGAGGCAGCAGUGAGGAAUAUUGGUCAAUGGGCGGAAGCCUGAACCAGCCAAGUAGCGUGCAGGAUGACGGCCCUAUGGGUUGUAAACUGCUUUUAUGCGGGGAUAAAGGAGCCCACGUGUGGGCUUUUGCAGGUACCGCAUGAAUAAGGACCGGCUAAUUCCGUGCCAGCAGCCGCGGUAAUACGGAAGGUCCGGGCGUUAUCCGGAUUUAUUGGGUUUAAAGGGAGCGUAGGCCGCCCCUUAAGCGUGUUGUGAAAUGCGGGUGCUCAACAUCCGACUUGCAGCGCGAACUGGGGGGCUUGAGUGCGCCGAAAGUAGGCGGAAUUCGUGGUGUAGCGGUGAAAUGCUUAGAUAUCACGAAGAACUCCGAUUGCGAAGGCAGCUUACUGUAGCGCAACUGACGCUGAUGCUCGAAAGCGUGGGUAUCGAACAGGAUUAGAUACCCUGGUAGUCCACGCGGUAAACGAUGGAUGCUCGUUGUCGGCCUCUGUGGCCGGUGACCAAGCGAAAGCGUUAAGCAUCCCACCUGGGGAGUACGCCGGCAACGGUGAAACUCAAAGGAAUUGACGGGGGCCCGCGCAAGCGGUGGAGCAUGUGGUUUAAUUCGACGCAACGCGAGGAACCUUACCAGCGUUUGA
rnacentral:rRNA from 1 species